rnacentral:rRNA from 1 species
GGAAACGAUAGCUAAUAGCCGCAUAAUAGCAGUUAUUGCAUGAUAACUGUUUGAAAGGUGCAAAUGCAUCACUACCAGAUGGACCUGCGUUGUAUUAGCUAGUUGGUGGGGUAACGGCUCACCAAGGCGACGAUACAUAGCCGACAUGAGAGGGUGAUCGGCCACACUGGGAUGAGACACGGCCCAGACUCCUACGGGAGGCAGCAGUAGGGAAUCUUCGGCAAUGGACGGAAGUCUGACCGAGCAACGCCGCGUGAGUGAAGAAGGUUUUCGGAUCGCAAAGCUCUGUUGUAAGAGAAGAACGAGUGUGAGAGUGGAAA